GCCAGGCGUGGUGGCGUGUGCCUGUAAUCCCAGCUACCCAGGAGGCUGAGGCAUGAGAAUCGCUUGAACUUGGGAGGCCGAGGUUGCAGUGAGCCUAGAUCACGCCACUGCACUCCAGCCUGGGUGACAGAGUGAGAUUCUGUCUCAA
ensembl:misc_RNA Metazoa_SRP Metazoan signal recognition particle RNA